ensembl:lncRNA
UCAGGGAAAGAUGCAGCGCUUACGAAGACCUCGCUCCAGCAGUGAUGGUCUCUCUCUGGCUGCCUCUGUUGAUCCGCAGCUCCUUCCCCAGCGUUCCCCAUCUAGAAUCCAUCCAAGCCGCUCUUACGAUAGCCUGCUGCCUGAGGAAACCCGUGAUGCAGAUGAGGAGGAAAAUGAAGAUGAAGAAGAUGAGGAGGGUGUGUACAUGUUGCCUGAUUUUUCCCAGGAACCAUCUGCCUCAUGGAUGGCAGAAGAUGUCAUUGACUUUAGCCCCACCUUCCUGGAAGAUGGGCCAAUAGGGUUAGUAAACACGGCUGUCGAUCUUAGCGGCAACGAGUCCCCUCCUGCGUCCGCACCCCCUCCCUACCGGUGUCUGAGCCAUCAAGCCCACACCCGGUCUGGUAGCCAGCGCUCAAUCACAGAAGAUCCAGACUCAGUUCUCAAUCAAUCUGAGGCCGCAGCCCGUCGGAGUUUGAUCCUGGCUGCAGCAGCUCCGCCUCAGCAAGUGUUCUGUCAACACAGGCCCUCUGCAGUCACUAAUGCUUCCGCAAGCACAGCCCAGCACCGUGAAUCAAAUCUAAGCCCAUCCCACAGCCAGACGCCAGCUCCAGCAACCUCUGUACCCCCGUCUCAGCCCCCUCAAGAGAGGCGUUCCUUUACACGUAAAGUGGUUCAUGCACUUUCACCUAAAGUGCCAAAAUCCCCCCCUCUGGACAUCUCUGAUCCGAUCGCCAUCAGUGUACCUGCCAAGGUUCUGGAAAUGAUUGGUGGAAGAGCUGGCGAAUUGCAACCUGGACUUCCAAGCAGUGGACCACCUCAGCCACCCCAAAUGAUAUCUAUGCUCCUGAGGUCAUGUGAUUUUCAACUCUCAGAAAGCUGCCAGCAAGAGCUCAGCAAUAAGUUGGGCCCCAUCGCCAAAAUCAAGGGUCCUAGUAUCUUGGGUCCCACUGGUUUUCCCCUUCCAUCACAGCAGCCCCCUCCUCCACCCCCCAAGAACCCUGCACGCCUCAUGGCUUUGGCUCUGGCUGAAAGUGCCAACAAGGCACUGCGGCAAGGUGCCUCACCCCCAUACCGCCCCCGUCAGAGUGGAACCUCUCAUGAGACAGACGUCCGCUUCCAGAGGUCCCUUUCUGCUGAUGCGGGUGCUCUGCUGUCUUCUGAUCCUAAUCAGAUCUACUCCACGGUGCGCCCCUUGUCUGUAUGGAAGACUGAGGGUGAUGAUGAUGAUGGUGAAACUGCCACUGAAAAGCGUGCAGACAAAUCAUAUGGUACAGAACCAAGGUCACCACCUGGGCAGGACACUGGGACUCUCUCUUCUGACAGCUCAGUCUCUGACUCUGGGACAUCCAAUUCUGAGUUGUCAGCUGCCAGUUCCUCUGAAGACAAUGAGCGAACACCAAGCCCCAUUUACAAGAAUGAAGAACCAACUUCUCCAGCACAGCCCUCAAAAUCCAGCCCACCCUCUUCCACCGAAGCCGUCCCUUCUCAGAGAAAACCCCCAGCAUAUGGGCGGCAGUUUUCUGCUCCACAGCUUCAGCAGGAGAAAUCCAGCAGCCAGUCCAAGCCUGCAGCCCAACCACACACUCAGCUUCUGCAUUCUAAAUCAGAGAGCUCUCCACUGGCCCAGGUACGAGCCUUCCAGCCCACUCGCCCAAAAGUGCCGCCCAAGCCCCCUGAUCUUGCUCCGUUGAGGGCUCCACUCUCUCAGACUGACCGGCAUGAUUACAUGCGUCGCUCCUUGGAUGCCACUCGCAUUCGACGUUUGGCAGGUCCACCACAAGGGAACACACCACUUUCCAGAGCUUUCUCUGAGCGUAUCAACAGUACCUCUGACAUGCUGUCUCGCUAUCAUGCAGCCAGGAUGGCCAACCAAGCUGCCCAGGUUGCACACCUUCCCCAGCAACAGCAACAGGCCCAGUCCACACCAAUCAGACCAGUUGUCCCCUCCUCUGAAGACCCUUCCAAGAUGGAGAACUUCUACUACGAAAUUGGUGCACCUGAGCAUCCACAAGUGCCACCCAGCUAUGCACGCCACAGCUAUCAAAAUAUGAAGCUGGAUCUGGAAGGAAACCUUCGUCUUACUGAUCCAGCCAAUCAAAGGCCUAUUUCCAGGGGUUACCCUCCUCCCUACAACCCCCAAGGACCUGGGGGCUGUAGGACUCCCCAGCUGUGGUCAUCUGAGGCCACACGAGCUUGGGCCGCAGCACACUCUCAUUCUUUCUCAUUUUCUCAUUCUCAUUCUCACCAUCACUCUCAGGAUGGAUCAUCAGGACAUCCUCCUAACCCCCGUCCCCAGCGUGAGACAUCAUCAUCUGUCAGGUUGUCCCGCAGUGAAGUGCAUCCUAUAUCCGCAUCUGUUGGAGUGGGUUCCUCUGCUGGCAUGGUGCCUCUGUCUGUGCACCAACGUAGCUUGAUUCGCCCCCAGCGUUCCCCUUCAGCAGACCACACUGCCUCCCAGCUUCACCCCUAUUUUGAAAACGGGAAGGUGUGUUACCGGUACUUUGAGGCUUCCAGACUGGAAGACUCGCCACUGAAUCAGCAUCAGCAUGCUGUUUCAAAGCCAUCUCAGGCCUCACCGGUGCAAGGAAUCACAAAAGAUCAGCCUGAGCACAUCUACGUCAACUACCCUUUCCCAAACCCACCAGGAUCAGGGUUUAAUUCAAAGGGCUGGGCUACCACAGACCUUGACGAAAAUGAUCAUCAAGCAUCUGAGAUGUCACCACCGGAUGACAAACAGAAGCAUUCAGAGCAAGAAAGUCCCACAGCUAACUUUGACAACCCUUCCCAGAAUGAUGUGUCCUCAGAUUCCAAAGUGAUCAAUAUAGCAGCAUCUGCCUUCAAUGCCAUGCAUUUCCGCAGUCGCUCAGAUCCCCAAAGUACCAGCUCAGAGCCUGCUCAAGUCUUGACUGGGAAGGAAAUUGCCUCCUUGCUAAUUGAAAAGCUUGCAGAGGAUGAAAGGGAGGGUCCUUCUGUGCUGUCUUCUUUGUCCUCUUCUCCGCACAUCGAGCACCCUCCAAAUCCCUACCCUAGCCAGCAGCAGCAGCCUCCACCUGCGUACAAUAUCUACACUCCAGGACCCUCUCGAGGGCACAGUGAAAGUCAGGUGCCACCUAGAGAGGGAUCAGGACCUUUCCAACGUCAAGACCCCUUGCGGAGAUCUUCCGGAGGCCAAUAUAGACAAGCUUUUGACGUCAUGCCAUCUGGCGACCAAGUACUUAAGUUUUACAGAAGCCAAGACUUUAUCCCAGGUGCCCAGGGAGAAAGCACAACCCCUAAUCCUUAUCCCCCAAGACCAUAUUAUCAGGACCCCCCAUACCCCAAUUGGGGCCCACAAGGCCUCCCAGACUCUUCCCACACAUGCACUCCACCUACAGUGGCCUUCUCCAACUUAGCGCUUGGAUCGACAAGAGGAUAUGGGCCCCAGAAUGUGGCCAACCAAUAUAACCAGUACCCGUACCAGUCAGGGCCAGUGCUUCCCCAGUAUCCCAACACACCACGACGAGAUAUUGUCCUGGAUCCUUCUCUCCGACCUCCGGGGUUACGAAACCAGAGAGGCUUAAACCGGCAGGGAAGCCUGCCGGGCCCCAACUGGACCAUCCAAACUGAAGGCCAGACCCGUAGUUACUGCUAAAGAGCACAACUGCCUCAAAAAAUCCUGUGUCUUUAGAUGAUAUGAUGUAGACCGGUGUAAGCACUAGACUUUUAUGUUUCCUGUACAAGUUAACACGUUGUGAAACUAAUUGUGUUAACCUCCCCAAGGGGAGACCGAAUGUACAGAAACAAAGUUAAGUGGGGUAUGUCUUUACUAGUGUUUCUGUCUCAGAAAAACCCCAUUGCUGUCCUGCUAUUAGUGUGUGUAUUGGAGUGGAAAAAGUGUACGAGAAUAAGACAUGAAGCAGUAAGGAUCAAAGAAGUGAACCAUAAAGUGGCUUAGAUAUGAAAACAUUCCAGAACACACUGUGCUGUCCAGCAGAGGGAGUCAGAGAGGUACAUAGCUGCUAUUACUCUGAUAGGCUAAUUUGAGUUUUUCUGCUUUGGGUUUUGUUUGAUUUAAGGUUCUUAUUGACACUAAGUCAUGCUGUACAGGGGCACAAGCUUGAUAUGUCUUUCUUCCUCCACAAAGUACAAUAUAAAUAACCUCAAGAGAUGCUGGUGGUUAUAUGAAACUUUAUGAGUAUGGCUAGUUUUUGUUAUCUUCAAUUUUUAGCAACAGUGGGAUAUUAUUUCCAUUUUAAUUGUUUUUUUCCCCCUAAGUUAUUGUAAGUUUUCAAUGGAAUGAGUUAUUGUGAAAUAGUUUUAUUUUGCCUUUCUUGAAUUUGUUUCAAAGAAUGUGAAGAUUAGGACUUUGAGUUUUUUUUUUUUUUUAAUUUCUUUCUAAAGUCUGUGCGUGAAUUUGUGUGUGAAUGAAUGUGUCUUGCACAGAGUGUCUGAUGUUAAGCACAUAAAAAGGAACAGUAAUUGCAGAAUUUUUUGAGAGGGUGUGUAAUUGAGAGCGCAUACUUCUGUGAGGUACUGCUUACUGCUCACUGUCAAAUAAUGUGUCAGAUGAUUUGUGUAUCAAUAUUGGCAUUCUAAUCCAAAGCAAGUAUUUCAGGUAGGUAAUUUCACAAUGUGUCACUCCCAGACAUCCAUGGAUUUCUGUGAAGGAGGAAUUGAAUAAUUGGUACUAUUCACCACAAAACCCUGAACAUUCAUUCAAUGCGUACAACACUUGUCUUAUAAGACCUUAUAAAUGUAAAAGCAGUUUUUAUCAGAUACUGCAGAUACCUAUGUUCCAGUGUUUAUUACUUAGUACUAUAGUACCUUUCAGGUCAUUAAAAAUGUCCUGGAUAUUCUUCUAAAAUUGACCAGCGAUGGAAUCUCUUUAAGAUUUGUUUAAUAAUUGGUGCCUUCUCUUAAAUAAUUGAUCAUCUUUUUAAAUCCUUCGUUAUGAAAACAAAUAUUGAAGAGCUAGAUAAAAACCCUAUCCUAAACCCAGUUACCCCUAUUUACAGUUUUCCACACUAGUAAAUUCUAAAUGAGAAAAAGAUUGUGUAUGAGUGUGUUUGAGUGAGAAUGUGACGCUGUGUGUUUGCAUGUCUGUUAUCUCUGUUGUUUUAAUACAUAUCUAUGCAGUGAAUAACCAAGGGGUUACGUUCCUUAAAAAACACUAAAUAUUAAUGCUACCUAUUUAUGUCAGCACACCUGUGAGCGUGUACGUUCCAGUGAGAAAGGUCAUGCAUGUGGCUUUGAGGGUAUAUACAUGUCCAACAAUCUCCCCUUCAGCCUUUAGCACUUGGCGAAAGGCAGUUCAUCCUAUUUUGUAAUAUUUUCAAAUAUGUGAAUUAAAAUCUUGGACCCUGUCAGUGACGAAACCUGUAGUUUGGUGAUUAUUUUUGAACA